UAGCAGCACGUAAAUAUUGGCGUAGUGAAAUAGAUAUUAAACACCAAUAUUACUGUGCUGCUUU
rnacentral:pre_miRNA from 1 species